UACGGAGGGUGCAAGCGUUAUCCGGAUUCACUGGGUUUAAAGGGUGCGUAGGCGGCUAGGGAAGUCCGUGGUGAAAUCCUGCAGCUUAACUGCAGAACUGCCGUGGAUACUCUCUAUCUUGAAUAUCGUGGAGGUUAGCGGAAUAUGUCAUGUAGCGGUGAAAUGCUUAGAUAUGACAUAGAACACCCAUUGCGAAGGCAGCUAACUACGCGAUUAUUGACGCUGAUGCACGAAAGCGUGGGGAUCAAACAGG
rnacentral:rRNA from 1 species